AGUGAACGCUGGCGGUAGGCCUAACACAUGCAAGUCGAACGGCAGCACAGUAAGAGCUUGCUCUUACGGGUGGCGAGUGGCGGACGGGUGAGGAAUACAUCGGAAUCUACUUUUUCGUGGGGGAUAACGUAGGGAAACUUACGCUAAUACCGCAUACGACCUACGGGUGAAAGCAGGGGAUCUUCGGACCUUGCGCGAUUGAAUGAGCCGAUGUCGGAUUAGCUAGUUGGCGGGGUAAAGGCCCACCAAGGCGACGAUCCGUAGCUGGUCUGAGAGGAUGAUCAGACAGACUGGAACUGAGACACGGUCCAGACUCCUACGGGAGGCAGCAGUGGGGAAUAUUGGACAAAGGGCGCAAGCCUGAUCCAGCCAUACCGCGUGGGUGAAGAAGGCCUUCGGGUUGUAGAGCCCUUUUGUUGGGAAAGAAAAGCAGCAGGUUAAUACCCCGCUGUUCUGACGGUACCCAAAGAAUAAGCACCGGCUAACUUCGUG
rnacentral:rRNA from 1 species